UACAGAGGUCUCAAGCGUUGUUCGGAUUCAUUGGGCGUAAAGGGAGCGUAGGUGGCGUCGUAAGUCAGGUGUGAAAUCUCGGGGCUCAACCCCGAAACUGCACCCGAUACUGCGAUGCUAGAGUACUGGAGAGGAGAUUGGAAUUUACGGUGUAGCAGUGAAAUGCGUAGAUAUGCGGAGGAACACCGAUGGCGAAGGCAAUCCCCUGGGCCUGCACUGACGCUCAUGCACGAAAGCGUGGGGAGCAAACAGG
rnacentral:rRNA from 1 species